CAUCCACUCGGCCAACGUGAUCCACCGCGACCUGAAGCCCAGCAACCUGCUGCUGAACGCCAACUGCGACCUCAAGAUCUGCGACUUCGGGCUGGCCCGGCCGUCCUCCGAGAGCGACAUGAUGACGGAGUACGUGGUGACGCGGUGGUACCGCGCCCCCGAGCUCCUGCUCAACUCCACUGACUACUCGGCCGCCAUCGACGUCUGGUCCGUCGGCUGCAUCUUCAUGGAGCUCAUCAACCGCCAGCCCCUCUUCCCCGGCCGCGACCACAUGCACCAGAUGCGCCUCAUCACCGAGGUAACUUUCGGCGUCUCGGGUUGCACGAUGGCAUUUCAGUAUUUCACUCGUGUAUCUCUGACGCCUUCGACCUAUCAUCAUCAUCAUCGGCAGGUGAUCGGGACGCCGACGGAUGAGGAGCUCGGGUUCAUCCGGAACGAGGACGCGCGCAAGUACAUGCGGCACCUGCCGCAGUUCCCGCGGCGGCCGUUCGCGAGCCUGUUCCCGAGGGUGCAGCCCGUGGCGCUGGACCUCAUCGAGCGGAUGCUCACCUUCAACCCGCUGCAGAGGAUCACAGGUCAGCCACACCGGCUCGCCGCCGCGGUUUUGAUUUGCUUUUCUUUUAUCCUCGUGCAACUCGUGCGGCUGCUGAAUCUUUGGGUAUACUCCACGUGCGGUUUUCUAUUCUUGCGUGUUGACCGGUGGUAGAAUCACUGUUCACUACCAUAUUGACGUCGGUGGUUAGUAGUACGUGAGGGCCACUGGCUACCCUUGUGUAUAGGCAAGGAAACACUGGCACAUUUCCGGGUUGGCAUCAAGUAGACAUGGUACUGGCGGCCUCCGGUCAAAGAAAGAGGCGUGCCCUGAGCUAGGUCUGUCCGUCCAAUUUUGAGUAGCUUGACUGUUCUGGUCAGGUUCAAAUGCAAUCUUCUUUGUCCAAAGUAGAAACAUUUAAUAAUCCGCAGGGUUUUGUCAGGGUUUCCGGUCAGGGUUGGGUAGGUUUCUUCGUUGAAUUGAGACCAUAACAGUCUAACGGAAAAGGGCGGCGUCACUUCUGUCAUUCUGUCAUGAAACAUUUAAGCGCUAUACCCUUGUAUUUAAGGUCCACUGCUAGUUCGCUACUUGCUAGCAUGAAUCUCACUUUUGUUCAGUUUGUUGCCUACCGUUCAACUGAUAGAACAAUAUCCCAGUGGGCUUGCAAAUUUGCAGCUAAAAAGCUGAUCCACAGCAAGUUAGUACAAGACAAAAGAGAGUAGUAGAAAUUAUUAUUUUUUUAAAAACAAAUCAAGCAGGAGAAACGCCGAUUAUAUUAAAAAGAAGAAUAAACUCAGACCAGGCAAAAAACGAAAAAACAACAAAAAAAAACAACGAAUACCGGCCAGUUGGAUUGGACAUCAAUCCGCGUUGUACCACGCCAACGUACUACUGAAAACACAACAUCGGCCGGUUGGAUUGGGGCAUCAACCGGACCUCUCUCAACUCUGCCUGGUCGAAUUAGGAUAUCGACACAAGCCUCAACAAAAGACUCUGCUCGAUCGGAUUGGUACAUCGAUCCGGGCCUCAACUCAAACUCACGCGCAGACAACAUGGUUGGUCAAAAGGGGGCAGCGGCACCACCAUGACACUCCACAACACCGGUGCUCGUGCACCAACAGCAACACCAUCACCAGGGCACAAGACUGAUAGAGGAUAACCCGUCAUUACCGACAAUGUCCCACAUCAGGCCAGCCACUGCUAUGCAGGGCUAGCCGCCGUGGUUCGCUGCAGGCCGUGUAGCUAUCGAGCCAUCAGAUCCGCUUGCGCUUCCAAACGAAGUUGUCCUACAUCGGACUAAACUCACCAAGCAAGGCUAGCCGCUGUAGAAUGCUGCAAGCCGUCGAACCAAUACAGGAGCAGCUGUCUCCGGACAUCAACUGCCAACCACGUCCCCCGAGAUCUGGUUGUACACUGUGGCACCAAGCAGCCUCGCCUCAUCGAGGAAAGCAGGGUGCUGGCAGUGCAUCUGGCAGCCAUCAGAGGAUCACCUCCACGCAGGUCUCUUUAGUGAAGCAGAUCUGUCAGCCACCCCGUACCACGCCAGCCACAUGCCAAAUUCGUGGUCACAACUGGCGCACGGCUCCUCCCUACCGUCGCCCUCAUGCCAAGCAGAAGUCUUGCCCUCUAGACACCGUUUCAAACAUCUACUUCCAGUCGCCUUCCGCCACCGCGGGCAUCCGCACCUUAAGUCAUUGACUAGGCCUCCACCCAUUCCACCACGAGGCCCAAAUCCACCAUGGUCGGAGCUUCGCAUCGACACAGCCGCCGCCAUGCGUGAUCGCUCGCCGCCAAACAAACAGGGAAGCUAUCGGGGCGCUGCCCACCACCAUCAGAACUCCGAAGAUGACACCUUCAAGAAGGACACGAUGCUAGCUGCGCUGUCGCCGCCCGCCCAAAAAACUUAAGCAAGGUUUUCACCUAGAGUUUCCGAGAACGACGCGAGGAGAGUGACAUGACAACGUCGCUAACAGGAAAUUGCGGUGCCCAAAGCGUCGCCGUUGUCAACCCGGCACACUGAGCAUGACUUUCGUCCAACACCUCCCCCGAGCAGCUGCCACAAACUUCCCCACCCGUCAUGGCUACACCAACACAAACACCUCCCUGCAACCGCCCCGUCACCAACCAGCCGCCUUAGCGCGACCGCCACCGCAUCCUCCCUCGCGCGUAGGCAUCGCCGCGCAGUCACCACCCAACCCGCACGCCGUUGUGGUGCGGUCUCCUCCUCGCCCUGUGCGCCGCCGAGGCCGCACGGCCUCCCUCCUUGUAGAAAUUGCUAUUGCCACAAGACAAACCUUUUGUACAUUCCUUAAGAGAAACUGUGUAACUAUUCUUGUUUUUCGUUCUGUAUAUUUUAAAUCUUAUGCAUCCGAGUCAUCAAAGUGGUCCUUGCUGAGGAGAGAGCUCUAUAUGCAUUCAAGUUUGUGUCCGUGCCUUUGCAUUUCCACUUAUCUUCAAUUUGCAGUGUUGCUGCUUUGCUCCAUCCUCCCUUAUUUAUGCCUGCUUUGGAGCUUUCUCCGCAUUGCUUUUGUCGAAGUGGCGAUGACCACUAUGUGCAGAAUAAACACGUUCGAUAUGAAAAGAAACAAACACUACAGAAUUACAGAUAAUCUAAGUACUGACUCCAGACUUUGGUUCAGACUCCUGUACCGUGUUCAGACUAGCAGAGUUUUAGCUCAGAGAAUUCGUUAAGGUCCAGGUCUCAUGUCUGACUAAUUUCAGUUCUCACCGAAAUUUCUUUUGCCGUGCAGUUGAAGAGGCGCUGGACCACCCGUACCUGGAGCGAUUACACGACAUCGCUGACGAGCCCAUCUGCACGGAUCCGUUCUCGUUCGACUUCGAGCAGCAGGCUCUGACUGAGGACCAAAUGAAGCAGCUAAUUUUCAACGAGGCCAUCGAAAUGAACCCGAAUUUCCGAUAUUAGAUUGGAUCCCCAGAUGUACGGUUCACAUCUAUGCAUGU
rnacentral:lncRNA from 1 species